UUACAUUCCUGGCAGGGAAGGUACUAUGAUCACAAAGGUGGUUUUCCCAGGAUGAGGGUUAUCACUUGCAUUGGAUGUGCUGACCCGUGUGAUUUCUCUAAAUGUGGGAAAUUCAGCUGCACAAUGUAUGGUAGUGAGGGACUGUGUUCAUGUUUUCCCCUG
ensembl:snRNA U1 U1 spliceosomal RNA